GGUUGUGGGGGAAGGGUGGUGAAUCUCAGUGGGCCCAGGCAUGUGGCUCCAGUUUUCCUUCCCAGUUUUCCAGUGGGCCUGGGCAUGUGGCAUUCCAAGGAUCCUGAAAGAAUAGGACAUCUCUUUUGCAGGUCACAGGAAAUGGGUAGCUAUCCAGCUAAACAGAUUUCAUGCUUGACUUCAGUGGAAUAGCUCAAAUGAUGAUCUGUUUGGGAGAGUAAAUUAAAGAGUUUCCAUCCAAGGUUGGUUGAAUCCACAGAUGCGGAACCCACAGAUAUAGAGGCCAACCAUACUGAGUCCUGACUUCACCCAUUCCUUCUACCCCCAUCUCUCCUAAUCCUUAAACUUCCUGGCAAUUCCUGGAGCAGAAUACUCAUGAAGGAGUCAGGGGUUGUCUUCCCUUCCUAGAAGCAAUGCUUCUAUGUUCUCAUUUGAUGUUGAAUAAAACAUUAAACAGAAAAGCUUUGAUAACAUCA